AAGGUGCAAAUAAAAUAAAAUCCUUAUAAUUUCAGGUUGAAUUUGCUAAAAAAUAGUAGCCGAAGAGAAGAGAAGAGAAAGAAACGAGAAAAUGGUAAGGACGAGGUUGGCAUGGUUCACAGUGGGAUUUUCGGUAUCAGCAGCUGCAAUUUCACAAUUCGCUUGGAGAGACCUUCUCAAUCAAAGAUAUGCCCUUUCUGAUCAUAUGAACCAGCAAUUUGAGGACCUUGAAGCUAGAGUCCUGAAUCUGGAGUCUUUUUCACCUCAGAACUCUAAUCAGACUACCCAGGUUGACAGUUAGAUUUUGCCAUGAUCUCGUGGAUUAGAGACCUUUUAAUUGCUUUGAGUUUUCUGUUGUCAUUCCUUGCUUUCAAGAGUGAGACCUUCUGUUGAUGGCUUGGACUUCUUGCAGGAGGUUCAACUUCGAGAUAUUAUACUUUGAUUCCCAACUUUUAUGCAAUUUUAUGUAGCUGUAAUGUUCUUUAAUAAAGGAAUUAUCAAAGCACGGAC